rnacentral:rRNA from 1 species
AAGUCGUAACAAGGUUUCCGUAGGUGAACCUGCGGAAGGAUCAUUAGUGAAUUAAACAUGCUUGGUGUCUUCGCUUCGGCAAGGCCCUUGCUUAAAUCACAUCCCAACACCUGUGAACUGUAAGACGUAUGAUGAGGUCUUUGGCCAAGUCAUCGUCUGCCCUUUUUUAACAAACAAUUAAUGUAACAAACGUAGUCUUAUUAUAACCUAAUAAAACUUUCAACAACGGAUCUCUUGGCUCUCGCAUCGAUGAAGAACGCAGCGAAAUGCGAUAAGUAAUGUGAAUUGCAGAAUUCAGUGAAUCAUCGAAUCUUUGAACGCACCUUGCGCUCUUUGGUAUUCCGAAGAGCAUGCCUGUUUGAGUGUCAUGAAAAUAUCAACCUUGACUUGGGUUUUGUGCUCUAGUCUUGGCUUGGAAUUGGGUGCUUGCCGCUUUUACGAGCGGCUCACCUUAAAUGUAUUAGCUGGAUCUGUCUUUGAGACUUGGUUUGACUUGGCGUAAUAAGUAUUUCGCUAAGGACAUUCUUCGGAGUGGCCUCGUUUUUAGGACGCUUGUCCGCUUCCCAAUACAAGUUCCACCUCGUGGACAUGACUUUUUUAUUAUCUGGCCUCAAAUCAGGUAGGACUACCCGCUGAACUUA